rfam:Eggerthella sp. CAG:368 genomic scaffold, scf29
GGAGAAAACUCUGGAGAAUCUCUUAAAUGAGUGCCGACGGUGCAAAGCUUCUUUAAAGAAUGCUUCGCAAGCAGCGAGACUUUCGUUUUUUGCAAAGUAUUCUUAAAAGCUUGUUGAGCGUUUUGCCAACAACAAAAGGAGCUGAAUCUCUCAGGCAAACGGACAGAGACGGUUAC